rnacentral:lncRNA from 1 species
CUCUGUUUUCGUUUUUCCCUGGUGGCUGGACGGAAGGUUGUCUUUCUUGGCCUGUUCUGCUGAAGCGUUGCUUGGGAGCGGAGUACAUGCGCCGUCAAGAGCCGAACCGCGUGUGGAUUGGAGUUUAUCACUUUCACUAGUGUUGUCUGCGAGCACUGCACACCAAAAGUCAGUGUUUGAGACACGGACAUCCACCCCGGUUGACGGCGUAGGAAGGAGCGGGAGACUCGUCAGUUUUUCUGACUCAUCUGAGCUUGUUUUUUGCCGGGAGGGCUCCAAACCGCCGGUAGUCAGGUUCCUUUUUUUCGGUCUUUCCUCGUCCUGUCUCCGCCACGAGGACGAACUCUCGCCUCCGGCAGAAGCAAACGAACGCGAGGUAGACCAGUCGGCACUCACUCGCACAUUUUCGAGCCUUGCCUGUGUGCAGUGCCCCUCUGUCUGUUCUGCCGCCACAGUCUUGGUGGCUAGACCUUCGUACACUGCUUUCCCUCUCUGUCGCCGUCGUUCCCCCAUGCGCCACCAGUCUGCCUCGAUUUCCCUUUCCCGCGUUUCUGCCUGUGUCUCCCGCGGCCGUCCCUGUUCGUCUUCUGACACUGCGGGCGAGAAGACGGAACCGAGCGUCCGGUCGCCACUGCGAGCGCCGCGUUCGUCGCCUUCGCCAGGCGAAUUCGGCCCGCGCUCUGUCGCGCUUGCAUACUUGCCACAGAAGUGCGUUCCUGGACUAAACGCGUACAAGUCCAUCAGAGUUCUGCGUGUUCUGUCUCCGCCGUACGGCGAAGGCGUGUCGCCGCCAGCGUACCGACUAGUUUCGCAGGACGACGGUCGAGCCAUUGUGGACAUCGACGCAAUCGCUGCGCUGCCUUUGAGUGCAUUCAUGCACCGCUCAAGAGUCCGCUGCCGCUGUCUGAGUUCCUGGAGCUGGCCGGGAUUCCGCUGCAGGUCGAGGAACUUAGCGUAGGUCUGCUGCAGACUGAUGCAUUGCAGCCGACAAAGCUCCACACACAUGCGCCGGUACGACUCGACAAAAAGCGUGUCGUUCUUCAGAAAUGACCGGCGGAAAAUCGUCUCCGG